UAUGCAUCAAUGUGUAAAGAUAGUGUUACUGUUGGGGACCUAUUCUUCUACUUAUUAAAGCUCUUUUAUUCUUUAUUUUAUUUUUACCAUAUAUUUUAUCUUAUUUUCUUCAUUUUUUAUUUUUGGGGGUUAAAGCUUGCUGGGGCUAUAACCCUUUUUGGCUUUUGUAGGAAUGACGAUUGUGAAACUAUACAUGGUAAUACAUUUUCCAUAUAUAAAUUGCUUGAAUUAGAAACAAUGUUUUUACGUCAAAGAAGCAGUGUCUUUCUUCGCCAGAAAAUUUAGAUAUUUGCUAUUAAACGAAUUGUUUGUAAUGAGUUAAUCGUCGUACACAAUUCAAGGUAGGAUAUAAAAUAGGAAAAUGCUAUUAACUUUUACAAUUAAAU
rnacentral:lncRNA from 1 species